rnacentral:rRNA from 1 species
UCCUACGGGAGGCAGCAGUAGGGAAUCUUCGGCAAUGGGCGAAAGCCUGACCGAGCAACGCCGCGUGAAUGAAGAAGGCCUUCGGGUUGUAAAAUUCUGUUAUAAGGGAAGAAAGGUGAUAGGAGGAAAUGACUAUCAAUUGACGGUACCUUAUGAGAAAGCCACGGCUAACUACGUGCCAGCAGCCGCGGUAAUACGUAGGUGGCAAGCGUUAUCCGGAUUUACUGGGUGUAAAGGGCGUGUAGGCGGGACUGCAAGUCAGAUGUUAAAAUUAUGGGCUCAACCCAUAACCUGCAUUUGAAACU